AUUGAACGCUGGCGGCAUGCCUAACACAUGCAAGUCGAACGGCAGCGCGAAGUUGCUUGUUGCUUUGCCUGCGAGCCGCGGACGUGUGAGUAAUGUCCGGGCACCUUCCUGAGGGAGGGCUAUACCUACUGGUAACUGUUACUACUACCGCCCAACGUCGCAAAGCCAAAGAGGGUGACCUUCUGGCCUCUUGCCAUCAGCUAUGCCCAGAUGGGAUUAGCUAGUAGGUGGGGUAACGGCUCACCUAGGCGACGAUCCGUAGCUGGUUUGAGAGGAUGACCAGCCACACUGGAACUGAGACACGGCCCAGACUCCUACGGGAGGCAGCAGUGGGGAAUAUUGGACAAUGGGCGCAAGCCUGAUGCAGCCAUGCCGCGUGUAUGAUGAAGGCCUUCGGGUUGUAAAGUACUUUUGGCAGGGGAGAAGGUGUGGAGGUUAAUAACCUGAGCAAUUGACGUUACCCGCAGAAGAAGCACCGGCUAACUACGUG
rnacentral:rRNA from 1 species